UGGAAGUACUCUUACUUCCGCCAUUCUUCAAUGAAGCUAGGUACUGCUUGCAAUUUCUCUUCCAGUGACUAGGUUCGUGACAAUAAAAGUACUCUUUAUCUGGAGUAGGUCCAGCUUUAGCCUUGGGCAUUGAUUUUGGCUUGGACACUCCAGCCUUGCCCUUCUUCUUCCAAGAAUUUCCCUUCUUGAAGCUAGGCUUGUUCUGUACAGCCAUCAUAUAGCUGCUACUAGCGCUUUUCUUAAUGUCAACCUCUGUUGUCUUGAGCAUACCACACAGUUCAUUCAGAUCCUUCUUC
rnacentral:lncRNA from 1 species